rnacentral:rRNA from 1 species
CAUGCAAGUCGAACGGAAGUCGUUGUAAUGAUAUAGACACGGACAGAGAACUUGUUCAAAGAAAGUGAAAGUUGACUUACAACAAUGGCUUUAGUGGCGGACUGGUGAGUAACACGUAAGCAACCUGCCUAUCAGAGGGGAAUAACAGUGAGAAAUCAUUGCUAAUACCGCAUAUGCUAACAGUAUCGCAUGAUACAGUUAGGAAAGGAGCAAUCCGCUGAUAGAUGGGCUUGCGUCUGAUUAGCUAGUUGGUGGGGUAACGGCCUACCAAGGCGACGAUCAGUAGCCGAGCUGAGAGGCUCAACGGCCACAUUGGGACUGAGAUACGGCCCAGACUCCUACGGGAGGCAGCAGUCGGGAAUAUUGCGCAAUGGAGGAAACUCUGACGCAGUGACGCCGCGUAUAGGAAGAAGGUUUUCGGAUUGUAAACUAUUGUCAUUAGGGAAGAAAAAAGACUGUACCUAAGGAGGAAGCCCCGGCUAACUAUGUG